rnacentral:lncRNA from 1 species
UUAGAGCGGUUUCAAAUUAAGGAAAGAAGUGUCAGAUACUUUUGAUAGCAUCAAGCAUUUGUAGUUUAACGGUGCAGAAGAAUUCAAAUAGCAUAAAACUUUUUAAAAAAAUUUACUUAAUAUUAAGAGUUAGAAUAAUACUUUCGAUUUGAAAUUUUAGUCUUUUACCACUAUUUUUUUUAUAAUAUUUUUAUUUUAGACUGUUCACUUUGAGGCUACUCGUUUAUUAGGCAAGCGAAAUCAAAAAAUUAUGAAAUUUAGUUUUUAAAUUAUUGUAAUAAUGUAGAUCAUGCCAAGUGGUCAGAUGUUCCAUCAUCUAAAAUGACUUAUAGGUCUCCGUGCUUUGGAAAGUACAGAAGCCUGCCUCUUAAUAAAUUAUCUAAUAGUGAUUGAAUGGUCAUUAGAAUAUAAAUUUUAUU